ensembl:lncRNA
AUGCGUCUCACAACAUGCAAGAGUAGCCUAGUCAUAACUACAAAAGACAAUAGCCUACUUUAUUUAACCUGUUCUGAUAAGAAGUGUGUGCUACAAACGCAAGCAAUUUAUGAUAGAGAUACUCCAGCAACAGUAAAAAAGUCAUCUGUGUCAGGAGUUCAACCGAAAACAAUCAAAGGAAAAAAGGGACAUCAUACCUUUAUUAUGAGAAGGUGGUCGCGAGACGAAUCUUUAAAGACAAGCGUCCAGUGCCAAUCAUCCAACACGUUUUGUCAACAAGUGUUAUAUCCGAUAAAAUAUAGACGAUUUCUCAAUCACUGGUUCUCCAAUCAAUUAUUUUACACACUAAACUCUCACAAACAAAAUGAGGCCACCGCCAAAGGUUUUUUUUUUUUUUUUUUUUUAAACAGAGAGAUAGUUCAAAUAUCCAAACAGUGCAGUCUGAGUUUGUUGAAUGUCAAACUCUUGGAAGAGUGGGCUGCGCCUGCAGUCAGGGGAGGAGUGAAAUAAGCGGACAUUUCUCUCUUCUCAGUGGAUCAGCCCGAGGACUUUUACACGUCUUUCAUGCAAUAAUGAAUUUAAAAGCAAACAAACAAAACUACUGUCAAUCUUACUGGCCCACCAGAAAGUUUUUUUAGGCUUUCAUGAAAUCAUUCAUUCGAAUCAAUGCGUUUAGAAACAUUGAUUUAUUCAGGAAGAAACUUGUUGCUCAGGAAUGGUCUGAUGUGGCCCUUGUUAUUGUCCUAACCUUUCCUGUUAAGGCGGCCCUCCCCUGGAUCUUUCUUUCCAGUAAAUCACAUGACAUUAGAGAAAUGGAUAAUAGUAGAGGGUCUGGGAGGGACCAGGGUGACUUAAUGGAUAGUACCACUAUAAAGUAGGUCUGUGGAGGCAAAUUUAUUUCCUUUCCUCUUAACCAUAGAGAGUUUGACUCCUAACCCUAAGGUUGUGGGUUCGAGUCUUGGGCCGGCAAUACCAUGACUGAGGUGCCCUUGAGCAAGGCACCGAACCCCCAACUGCUCCUCGGGCGCCGCAGCAUAAAUGAUACCCACUGCUCCGGGUGUGUGUUCAUGGUGUGUGUGUGCACUUUGGAUGGGUUAAAUGCAGAGCACGAAUUCUGAAUAUGGGUCAUCAUACUUGGCUGUAUGUCACUUCACUUCACUUUGUUUCUUUAUGAAGUUUGACAUAAUGAAUCCAAAAAUUGCACAACUUUUGGGUUUUGUUUACAGAGCUCAUGAAAAAAAAAAGUACAAAAAAUUUGAUCUUUCUGUGAUUACUCAUGAAUACAUUUAUAAUACUGAACUAACAACAAACUUCCUGAAGAACAUUUCACUUCCGCAUAUAUCAAAUACUCAAAAAUAUAAUUUGGAACAAUCACUUUCAACAUUACUAGAACUCAAGACUGCACUAGUAUAAG